rnacentral:rRNA from 2 species
AACGAUGAAACUUAAAAGAUUUCUCGGAAUGAACUUAAGUAAAUUAGUGGCGAACGGGUGAGUAACGCGUGAGUAACCUGCCUUACACAAGGGGAUAGCCUCUGGAAACGGAGAAUAAUACCCUAUGAAACUAUCUUAUCGCAUGAAAAGAUAGUCAAAGUGUUUUAGCGGUGUAAGAUGGACUUGCGUCUGAUUAGCUAGUUGGUGAGAUAACAGCCCACCAAGGCAACGAUCAGUAGCCGGCUUGAGAGAGUGUACGGCCACAUUGGGACUGAGACACGGCCCAGACUCCUACGGGAGGCAGCAGUGGGGAAUUUUGCACAAUGGGGGCAACCCUGAUGCAGCGACGCCGCGUGAUUUAGAAGGCCUUCGGGUUGUAAAAAUCUUUUGUAUAGGAAGAAAAUGACAGUACUAUACGAAUAAGGUCCGGCUAAUUACGUGCCAGCAGCCGCGGUAAUACGUAAGGACCGAGCGUUGUCCGGAAUCAUUGGGCGUAAAGGGUACGUAGGCGGUUAGAAAAGUUAGAAGUGAAAGGCUAUAGCUCAACUAUAGUAAGCUUUUAAAACUGUUUAACUUGAGAGAUGGAAGGGAAAGUGGAAUUCCUAGUGUAGCGGUGAAAUGCGCAGAUAUUAGGAGGAAUACCGGUGGCGAAGGCGACUUUCUGGCCA